ACACAGAAAAUAUUCUCUCAGUUUCUCUCUCUCUCUCUCUUCCAAGUUCUUCAUUUUCUUCGACUUUGCCUUGUUCAAUCCGUGUCACACGUUAUGUUAACAUGGUUUCAGAGCGGGUUUUCCGAUUCUGCUCGUCAUCAGCUUUCUUCCGAUGUUACCCUCGUCAAUUUUCAUCCGAGGUUUUGUGAUAUCUGAGAAAUCUAGGGUUUUCUCAGUUGCUGGGUUUUUUCGCUGCGAUCGUCUGUUUUAUUGAGAUUUCUACUCAGUCGGAUUCAUCGGUUGGGUCGAUUCGAUUCCUAAGGGUUUGCAUGUCCACGGACUGUUGGUUUUUCUUUGGAUUCAUCAAGCUUCAGGCUCGGUAAGGAUUCUCAGCCAUUAAAAUGGUUAAUGUUGGUGAUACUUCUGCUUCUGUUCCCACUAAUUUUGUACUUGACCUUCGAGUCCUUUAUUUCUUAUUUCUUCUGAAGUUCCCGGAGUCUCUUUGGUCCUCCCAGUAAUUUUAUACUUGACCCUUCGAGUCCUUUAUUUCUUAUUUCUUCUGAUGUUCUGGGAGUCUCUUUGGUUAGUAAUCCCUUUUCAGAGACUGGUUUUGGGGGUUGGAGGAGAAAUAUAAUCGUUUCUCUGUCUACUAGGAAUAAGAUACGAUUGUUGAUGGAACGGUUCCUAAUCCUCCUGAAAAUUCCCCUCAUUCUACACAGUGGGAUAGGUGUAACAAUAUGGUUAUCUCUUGGCUCACAAAUUCUCUUACGCCAGAGAUAGCCGAGAGUGUUCAGUAUUCUUACACUGCUCAAAGCAUUUGGACUCAACUUAAUAGCAGAUAUGGGACAGUAAAUGGUACCAAAAUCUUUG
rnacentral:lncRNA from 1 species